UGUUGGAAAAAGACUGAAUUUCUUCAGCGAAUCAAACCUGUGAGCACUGAUAUCACUGCAAAGCGCACGGCAGUUCUACGUGGACUUCCACUCAUUCUUGGAGAAGAAGCCUCUGACUUUUUUACAACAGCACUGGACUGUGAAUGUGACACACCCCAGAUUUCCAUUGGGAUACUGACUGUGACACCAGAACAUAGCCAGGAUUCCCCACAAGCACUGCAUUUGAGGCUUCAAACACCGCAAUCAUCUUGGAAGGA